GCCACCUACGCCAUAAGUUUCCCUCCACUACCAGUCAGCUCUAGGUGCUCAGGGAAGAUAAACCUAACUGUGUACUCCACAGGUUGGUAUUUGGCCUCUAACUUCUCCUGCCCUCAUGAGAUUUGUUCCAUUACUGAGCAGACCAAACAUGGGAGAGCUGGACUGUAGAGUUUAUAGGCACCUUCUUGGUCACCUCAGAAACAGAAGGCAGACAGAACAAACCUGAAAGAUAUACUGGACUUAGAACACUUGUGGAUGAAUCAAGCACGUGGAAGAGACCUGGCCCUUAAGUAUUUUAUGCCAUCUUUUAUACCUUACCAAUUCACUUGUCAGCUGGUUGAAUGCAGAGGAUCCAACAGAUGACUCCAAAGCCAUACCAAAGUACAGAUACUAGAACCACAGACAGAAGAAGCAAGAACUUAAACCACUACUGAUCUGCUAAACAUCUGAUUGGAUUGUGUGGUGAGCCAGCAAUUAAACUUCAUUGUGUUAAACCACUAAGUUUUAAGGGUUGUUUGUCAGAACAACUGACAUUAAUAAGUCCAACUAAAACACUACCCCUCAGUGUCGACAAAUAGAUGAGUGGAGAAAAAAAUGUGGCAUUAUUUUUCAUACAGUAGAAUAUUAUUCAGCCUUUUAAAAAAAGGAAAUCCUGCCAUUUGUGACAAUAUGGAUGAAUCAGGAGGAUGUUUUGCUAAGCGAAGUAAGGCAGU